AUCAGACCUCCCAUAGGCCCAUGAGGUAGAUUUGGUAUUAAGCGGAUUCCUAAUAAUUCUGUUUCCUGGCAAGCUCCUGACAUCCUGCAGCAUAAUGCAAAUGCAGCUGGCUACCCGGGUCAUAGCUCCGACUAACCCAUCACGCUCACUGAUGUAUGACUUCACCUCUCUGAAUGUGUUCUCCAUAUCAGUCUUCCCACGAGGAUCCCAUACCUCAGCAGCUUAUUCAUUCAGUUACAGGACUCCACAAGGCUCUGGAAAUACAAACAUGAAAGGAGCACAGUCUAUGCUCUUUGGAGUCUGCGAGAAGAAAUGAUCAUGUAAGUGAACCAAACCUGAUAAAUUAUUGGUAAAGGUUAUAAGCUGCUGUGAGAGCACAGGGGAAGAAGAAAUAUCAAGAAGGUUUUCCAGAGGAAGGGCCACUGAAGGCUUGAAGGAAGAGUUAGAAUUGGCCAGACAGAUGGGACAACGUAUGUCAAAGCAGGUAGGCAUUAAAAACAUGGUGUAUUUGGAGAAUUGCAAAUAUUUGGAAGAUGGUCAUGAAUGAGUGAAGAGAGACUUAAUUUUUUAAAUUUAAAUUAAUUAGAUAAUGGAUAGUGUAGAUAAGAAAAUAAUCCAUUUGGAUUUUUAUAAUCAAUUUUGAAAUCAUAUACGUAUUGGGAUGCAGAUGAAAUAAUUACAGUGGUCUAAAUUUCUUAUGAAUUGCUUUCAGGUUUUUGAGUAACCCAAAACAUCCUCUAUGAGCAGAUCUAUUCUCCUUUCUUCCUCUUUUCUUCUUUUCUUCUCUAGGUUCAAGCAUAAUAAAGAUCAAUAUUUACCAUCUUUUAGUUUUCA
rnacentral:lncRNA from 1 species